AUACAGAGGGUGCAAGCGUUAAUCGGAUUUACUGGGCGUAAAGCGCGCGUAGGCGGUUUGUUAAGUUGGAUGUGAAAGCCCCGGGCUUAACCUGGGAGGGUCAUUCAAAACUGGCAGACUAGAGUGUGGUAGAGGGUAGUGGAAUUCCUAGUGUAGCGGUGAAAUGCGUAGAGAUUAGGAGGAACACCAGUGGCGAAGGCGACUGCCUGGACCAACACUGACGCUGAGGUGCGAAAGCGUGGGUAGCGAACAGGAGUAGAAACCCUAGUAGUCC
rnacentral:rRNA from 1 species